AUUUUUUAACCACCCUUUUUUUUAAUCCCUCUUUUUUGAUUAAUCCCCUUUUCCCAGACAUUUGAAACCCCCAAUUCUCCUUUGCUCCUCCACCUCUCUCCUUCCACAAACCUUUUGAACCCCCCAAAAGCGCCCCAGUUCCGCCUCAGGACUCAAAGCUCCCAAAUUCUGUGGGAGCCAAAGGAUUUUUUCCCUUUCCAAAGGGGCCACAGCUGCUUUGGAGAGGCUGCAAUGAGGGGAAAAAGCAAAUUCCAAAAGGACUCCGGCAAAGAAUUCCACCCUCAGCAGCGAAACAACGCUUCCUAAAGAGAAAGGAAAACAUUGUGCUGGAGCAGAGGGGAAAAAAAAACAAACAACCCUGGAGUGUUUAUCACUGGAGUGCUGAAUUCCUGACAGAGCCCAGCUGUUCCCAAAUCCCUUUGCUCCCAAAAAAGGGCCGCGCUUCCCUUGCCGGAGCCUGACGUGGUCCUGUGGACGUCAGCAGGAGCAGCGGGAAGCUCCAAAACAAGUGACGUGGGAGCCCAACCCUCCCACGGAGGGCACUGGAGCACAGCCACGCUUCCAAAGAUGGAGAUCCCAGCAGGAUUCCGGCACUGGGAGAGCCUCUGGAGCCCCAGGAAUGGCAGGGAUUCUGCUGGAGAUUCUCCUGGUUUUGUGGGGCUUGGCAGCAGGGUGAGCGUUGGAAACGCGGGAUCAGCGGGGUUGUCUCAGCAACAGUUGCCUUGAUGUCGCUGUAAAUGUUUAAUGGGAAGCUGAGCCACCUUCCCUGCCCAGAUGGCUCCGGUUCUGGAGCUGGGGAACACGGAUUAACGGGGAACAGGCAGAUGUUGCCUCACCAGAAGGGUUUAAGCUGUAAUUAGAUGAGCUGGGAUGGGGCUGUGGGGGCAGAGCAUCCUUGGAAAGGUUCAGGGGGACACGGGAGGAGCUUCCGAGGUCCUGGUGAGGUCUGAACCUCCAAAAAUCCCGGGAUGAAAUGCAGGGUGCCAUCCCCAAAUCCCUCUGCUGGCGGAUGGAUUAACCCCCAGCUCUCCCAGUUUGUCCCAGCUCCCAGUCCAGAUCAUCCCUGGGAGAUGAUGGGAAUUGUGAGGAUGGGAAAUGGGUCCUGUUCCGUGGUGGGAGCUGCUGUGUGGAAUCCUGGCUGGAAGCACUUCAGGAUCUGCCCGGUUCUGAUGUUUUUUCCCCCAAAAUAACAGCUGAUAUUAAUUCAGGCUGGGAGAUGCAUUACCAAUCCUAAAUGGAUUUUGGGAGAUUACACACUUUAAUAAAUCCAAUUUUUAAGAGAUCAAGCUAUAUAUAUAAAAAAUAAUAAAAGAAUUGAUGCAACAUAAGGCCCAUAAAAAAAAAAAAUAAAGGAAAAUCCAGUGAAAAGAAGCUCUGAUUAUCCAUAAAAUAUUUCCUGAGACAAAACAACACCCAUGUGCCUGCUCAUUCAUAUAAAUCCAGCAUUUCUGGAGUUCUUUUUCCCACCUGUGCUGUGCAUGGAGACGUUUAUAUGCAGGGAAGGGAUUUGGGAAUCUGUCUGAAGGCCUGGAAAGGCAGGAAAUAACGUUGGGAUUGAUUUGGGGAUAGGUGGAAGGAUCUGCAGCCCGUUCCCAGGAGCUCCCUGGAGUUCAGCACCUGGGGGAAGUGGAUGCUGAGCUCCAGGGAAUGUCAGGGAGAUGCCAGCAGAGCAGAGCCAGGGUUAUUUGGGGAACAGGACAGUCAGAAAUCAAGCUGGAGCCGUUUCACAAUGCCAGAGAGGCUCGGGAUUUGUUUACAGAGCCCGAUGACAGCGGCUCAGCGCCGAGGGAAAAUGAGGAAUGAUGCAAGAAGGCAGGAAUGGACAAUGGGAGACGGCAGCAUGGAAUCCUCACGGAAAAAAACUCUUCUGAGCGCUCAUAAAACAUCCCCGGAGACAAGAGAGCUGGGAGAGAGGAGCUUUCCGGGCUGUCCCAAACAGCAGGAAUGGCCUGAACUUCAUGGAUCUCCUGACCAAGGCCUUUGGGAGUUCUGACCAAGACAUGUUUCCUUUAAGAGGAGGGAAUUUGAAGACUUAAAAACUUUCUUGCCAUGAAUCUGACCCAAACCAGCUGCCAGGUAUUUGCUGUGCACGGAGAGAGCGUGUGGAGGUGGAAUCCCCGUCCCUGGAGGUGUCCGAGGAGCUCCUGGGCUGGUGACAAGGUGGGGAUUGGGCACAGCUUGGACCCCAUGAUCCUGGAGGGCUUUUCCAACCUCAGAGAUUUUGGGAUUCUGUUGCUGUACCUCAGGUGUUGAUGCUGGACCUUCAUCCAGGGCUUCCCACAGCGUGGAUCUCAUGGCAGCGAUCCCAAAUGUUCCGUUUGGAAAAAAAAGAAGAAAUUUGGGCCAGGCCAGGUCCCAAAUCCCUCUCCUGAGGCAGCUGAGUAGAUUCCAGCCCUGCCAGCAUUCCAAUCACCUCCUUGCCCCUGUUCAAGGAGCUCCAGCAGCUCCGUGUGCGCCCAGGGAAGGACAGACACGUGCUGGGAUGACGCGAUGGGACAUCUGAGAUGGCCAAAAAGGACGAGUUUAUCUCUGCCAAGGCUCUGGGGUGCUCUGCUGUACGGAAUGGGAUUCCUGAGUGUGGAAAUAGAUGGAUUAAUGCUUCACCAGGCAUCCUGGCAGGCUUGGGUGAGGUUUUGGGUGGAUGUGUUUAAUAAUUUCUCUUUAACCCUAAACCAGUCACGUCUUGGAGAGGGACUUUGGACAAGGGGAAUGGCCUGAGGAUGAAGGAGGGCAGGGUUAGAUAGGAUAUAAGGGAGAAAUUCCUCCCUGUGAGGGUGGGAAAGCCCAGGAAUAGAA